rnacentral:ncRNA from 1 species
GUUUGUACAGAACCUUUUCCGAAAGAUUGUGUUCCAAGAAUGAUAGCUCGCCGGUGGUCUUGAAGUGCGCCUGCAACGAUUUCUGACGCGGAGGCUGACCCAGUGUUAAUAAGCACGAUUAAUUUUGAACCGUCAGUAAGAUCCCCUGGCUUUGCGUGAACGCGUGCCGUAUUAUUUGGAUCUCUCCCUCUGGUGGACACGAUUUCUCCAUGAUUAAGAAAUAUAUCACUUACGGAGAUUGCUUGGUUAAGAAGUCCGCCUGGAUUAUUUC